rnacentral:lncRNA from 1 species
UACAUCAUUGGCAUUACAUUUUAGGGUUUAGGGUUUGGGGUUUCGGGUUUAGGGUUUAGAGUUUUAGGGUUUGGGGUUUAGGGUUUUUUAGGGUUUAGGGUUUUAGGGUUUAGGGUUUGGGGUUUAGGGUUUUAGGGUUUAGGUUUUAGGGCUUAGGGCUUAGGGCUUUAGGGCUUAGGGGUUUAGGGUUUAGGGUUUAGGGUUUAGGGUUUAGGGUUUANAUGCAAUUGAUGUGAUGCAUAUUUUAUAUGAAAUUAUCUGUUACCAAAAUAAUAUGUGUGAUACUUAUUAGAAAAGACAUAAUAUUUUUGUUUCCUUUUUUUUUUUUUUUUAGAGUGAGAACGGUAGCAAAUAACCUCUCUUCGCUCAAUUUUAUUUUUUUUACUUUAGAAAUAAAAACAAUUAGAAAUGUAAAGCAAUAAAGUUUUGACCUUAAAAUCUCUGAGUAUUCAAUAAUAAAAAAAAAUCCUUAGCCAGAAAUGCUAGGGUUUAGAGUUUAGGUUUUAGGGUUAGGGUUUUGAAUUUUUAGGGUUUAGAAUUUAGAAUUUGGGCCCGGAAGUGGUCGGCGAAUCGGAGCUAGACUUGAUCUCGUCCAUUAAUAAAAAGUGUACUUAGUAAAACGUGCUGGACCAUUUAGUUAACACCGGUUCUCCUUCCAUCUCACAAUCACCCCCCCCUGACAAUUUUUUAAAUAGACCAUUUAUUAUUAUUAUUUUUUUUCAGUGAGACCUCUGUACUUUUUUUUUUUAAAGGAAUCAAUGUUGAGGGAGUGUAAUACACUAUUAAAUACAAAGGAUACUAUACAACGUACUAUGAUAUACAAAGUACAUUGAAAAUGGCCCCCCGGAACGGCCCACACAUAGAGGGACCUGGGCAUUAAAAGUAUAUAUUUGGGCUUAAUAGGCCGAAUUUUAUUAAUGGAUCAGGUGACGCCCAGUACUGGUUAGCCUUUUUUCUGCUCUAGGUUAAAUUGCGGUCUCGUUAAUAGCCCACAAAUGGAAAGCUUCACUUGUGGAGCAUAAUAUUAUGCUGUAAGUUGCCUUCUUUUUUCUUUUUCUUUUUUUUGGUGAUAAGUUAUUCUUUGGUUAAGGGCCUUUUUCUUUUGAGCAAUGAAAAAUAGAUAAAUUUGGAGAAAUCACACAAAAUUAUUCCUUUUUAUUUGUCGUAAUCAAAAAUAAAAUAUAUGAAGAACACCCGCUGUUUGUUUUUUAAAAAUUUAUCUUCUUUUUCUUUUUAUCGACAUGUGUAUAUGGUUUAGGGUUUUUAGGGUUUUAGGGGUUUAGUUAUUCUGACUAGUUUUGUUAUUCUAUUUUUAACGAUUUUGAAUUGAUUUUUUUUUUAUUUUUUGUUUCAAUUUCAUCGUCAUGAUUUAAGGUUGCUGUUGUUCAUGUUUUGUUGUCCACAAUUGCUGCUUCCUUUUAAUUCAUAUGUGUGCAGAGAUCAUCAUGUUUGAAAAAAUUUUAUUCUUUUGAUUAAACUUUCCAUUCUUGCAAAUUUUUUUUGGUAACAUUUUGUAGAGCAAAACCAAAUAUUCGAGGUAUCCUUCCUUUAUAAGAUAAAAUUUUCUUUGUGUUUUUAACUCAAUUUUGUUUUCUUUUAUUAUUUAGUUAUUUUCUUUAACUCUUUAGCCUGGCUAGUUUUGUACUCUCUUAUAUGUUCUUUUUUUUUUCCGCCAAUGUUUCUUGUAUUAUUGUGUUUAAAUGCUAAACUCAAUGAUAACAUAUUUGUAUUUCAAUGUUCUAAUUUUUUAAAUGUUUCUCUGUAUGAUUGUAUGUUUUGUACUCUCUUUUCUCAAUACUUUGUUUAUGAAACCUUUAUAUGGGCCCAAACAACAUGAAAAUUUAAAUACGAUGCUGGCUCAAAAUCAGAUAACAGUCAUAUGGGCCUUUCUGAGCUCCAAAUAAGCCCAGUCCAUAUUUAACCCAAAUCUAAGCCCAGUCCAUACAGGCUCACGUAAGUUACAUAUGGGGCCGAGGAAGAACCCCAAGACUAAGCCCGAGUCACACCCAAUUAUGUGGACUUUACACAAUCCUAGAUCAUGCUUGGGGCCUUUAAAGGCCUUUCGGGCUUUGCGGACUUUAGGGCCUUCACGGGCUUACUUUUAUGAGUUUUAUUUGGUGUAAGGCCUUGGGGCUUGGGGGCCCUUUGAAAGGCCUUUCAGGCUUUGGGCUUUUAGGACUUUAGGGGCUUUAGAUUUCGGGCUUCAGGGUAUGGGCCGCGACUGUGUGUGAAAAGCCCGGCCUUCUUUCCUUAUUUGGUAAAGUCUGUUUUUGAUGUGUUUCGUUUUUUACCAAAAAGGGAAAGUUUGGGUUUUGGACCAUGCGUAAUCCGUUAUUACUCUUUUACCCCAUAUACACCCAUCAUAUGCUGGUCCCACACGUCGGUUUAACAGAAAUUUUUAUUUUUAUUUUUUUAUUUAAUUUUUGGUUUUGCAAAAAUAAAAAUGUGUAGUUGGUAAUAUAAGCAAAAAUGAACACAGCACAAAAUAUUGAUUUUUUAUGUAAUAGUAUAUAAACAAAUUUUUUUUCCUUUUUUUUACACAUCCCGGUUAAUGUUAAUUAUAUUUUCUGAUUAAUGCAAUUGACGUGAUGCAUAUUCUAUAUAAAAUUAUCUGUUAUCAAAAUAAUAUGUGUGAUACUUAUUAGAAAAGACAUAAUGUUUUUCUUUUUUUCCAUUUUUUCUAUUUUUUUGUUUUUUUUUUUUUGAGAGAGAUAGAACGAUAGUAAAUAAUCCCGCUACGUUCAUUUUUUUUAACUUUAGAAAUAAAAACAAUUAGAAAUUUAAAGCAAUAAAGUUUUGACCUUAAAAUCUCUUGAGUACCGAAUAAUAAAAGAAAAGUCCUUAGCCAGGAAUGCCAGGGUUCAGUGUUUAGGUUUUAGGGUUUUAGGGUUUUUAGGGUUUAGAGUUUUGUUUAGGGUUUAUGAUUUAGAGUUUAAUGGCAUAAUAUGGAAAUCUAAAAGUUUGAGCCAAUAUUUAAUUCACUGAUUUGCUGCUAAAUAGCACAUGCUCAAGUUUUAUUUUUAUAAUUGUCAGACAUUUAACUUUCAAAUUUGUUUUCAUUUAAGUAACUUCAGUAAAUUAAGUUGAGAGUUUUAUUAAAUUUAUUGAUAAUUUUAUCAAAUUUAAUAAUUAUAAUUAUUUUUUAGCAAAUUGAGAUUUUCUAAAGUUGGUAAACUGUGUAAAAAAUUAUGAAGAAAAUAGUCAAAUUCUCUCUUUCUCUCUCUCUAAUUAUGGCGAAAUUAUGAAGUUGAAAGAAGCUUUAUUUGCAGAUUGAAGAACUUCAAUUUUUAUAUUGGGGUUAUUUAUUAAUUUGGUGUGAGCAUGAGGACACUAAUGGACAGUAUUGAUUACGUUUUUUGAGAUGGAUUUUUUAGUAUAAUUUUUGAAUUUCUAUAGUGAAAAUAUGUAAAGUUUGCAUUAAUUUUUAUCACUAAUACUCGUUAGAUUUUCCUCCAUUGCAUUUUCUGUGUUUAUUUAACUUUCUUUCUCCUUAUUCUCUCAUUUUACUGAUCAUCGCUAAGCCACUCUUCUUUCUUUCUUUUUUUCCAUCUAUUUCUUUGUCUGUUCUACAAAAUGCUACAGAACUUGCUCUAUUCUGCGUUUUUCUUCCUUAAUUUUGAUAUAUAUUUGGGAACCACAAUUUGAACAUUUAUUGGGGGCAAAGCUAAUCAAACUGUAGAUAAAUGUCCAAGACGAAUCUAAAUUGAAUUAUACGGACAUUAUCUGACCCAAUUCCAGCCCAAUGGGAAAAAGAACCCAAAUAUGAGGUUAAGCAUUUAGGCUUCCCCAAAGUUAUAAAUGGGCCUGGGUGUAAGCAAGUCUAAAACCAAUUACAACUAAUGUUAUGGGCUUUGCGAUUCAGGUUUAGGGCCUUAAGGAGCAUACUUUUCUGAAUUUCAUUUUGUGUAGAGCCUUCGGGCUUGGGCGCUUGGGGCCUUUUAAAGGCCAUUCGGGCUUUCGGCUUUUAGGACCUUUAGGGGCUUUAUGGAUUUUAGGCUUCCGGGUACAGGCAUCGGGCUUCGGGCCUUGGGGCAAUUUAAAGACCAGUGUCGGACCUUAGGGGGCUUUCGGGGCUAAAGGAUUUCGGCCUUGGGGCUGUAUGGUUUUAGGGUUUAGGGCUUUAAACUUCGGGCUUUAGACAUUGGGCUUGAGGUUUCGGGUUUAGUUGCCCACUCAAAGCAAAUCUUUGUAAUAUCUCUAACCAUUUCAUGUACAAAACGGAAUUGAUCAUGUGACAUGCACCCCACCACCUCAAGAUCAACUUAGAUUCGCCAUGCAAUAAAUAUAUAAAAAGACUACGCCACGUAUCAUUAAUAUAUUCAUUCAUUCAUGUUAAAAAAUUGCACCAAGCUUUUUCUUUCUCCCCAUGGCCAUGAGAAAGGAAUCAAGCUCCCCAAAGCAAAAGCAAAGCUUGAAGAUAAAGAGCAAAGAGAGAGAUAUAAAAACGCCAAAAAUAUUAUAAAAAAAGCAUCUUUAACAUCAAAGCUCUCUUUACCUUUCAUCAUAGCAAACCCCCCCUAAAGCAAUUAAAUACUCAGAUGCUUCUCCUCUUUUGCUUAGUUCACUCUUUCACCUACACAACUCAAAUUAAACUAAGCUAUGGCUCGGAUAGAAGCUGUGAUCAUUUGCCUAUUGAUUGUGAUCAUGGAGUUUACUAAGAACUUAAUGGUGUUGUGAUUGAAAUAUAUAUAUUUGUAGGGGAGGCACUUAAGGGUGUUCUUCAUUGAGUGCACUUUAUAGGGGAAAUUACUUACUAAGCCCAAGUCACACCCAAUUAUGUGGACUUUACACAGUCCUAGCUCAUGCUUGGGGCCUUUUAAAGGCCUUUCGGGCUUUGCAGACUUUAGGGCCUUCAGGGGCUUACUUUUGUGAGUUUUAUUUGGUGUAAGGCCUUGGGCUUGGGGCCUUGGGGCCUUUUAAAGGACUUUCAGGCUUCGGGCUUUUAGGACAUUCAGGGGCUUUACGAUUUCGGGCUUCAGGGUAUGGGCCGCGACAGUGUG